GAACUAUGCUUGUUUUUUCCGGCGAUGAAAUUCGUGUGAUGAUCGAUUUUUACAUGGUGUUGUAUGAAUUUGUAUGGUUUUGAGGGUUGGGAUAUAAGGGACGCAAGUGUGGAAGGUAAUAUUUGAGACGCGCUCGGUCAGUAUCCGCGGGCAUAGCAGGGCCCAUAUUACCAUAUUUAGGUAUGUAUCCUCCCCAAUGAUCGACAUGACACCAAGUUUCCACAUCAUCAAAUCUGAAAUUGAGUCAGACAGUUCCUCGCGUAGCUUAAUGUAGAAGCGAUCCAGGUGAACACAUGUAAAGGAAUGGGAGCUGCGUAUAUGUCCUACCGUCCAUGCUCACAGAACACUGAAGGACUUUGAACAAACUCUCACAGCUUAGUAAACUACAGAACUACUCCGGUUGUAAUUUAUAAGGCUUCCCAGAAGAAUAAACAAACCUUGUCAUGAUAUUCCCAGUAGCCAAAGUAAUUCCGUGACCUAAAAAAUAUCAUGCAAAACCAGUGAAACGAAUCAGUGGUAUAUGGUAAUAAUGUUGUGCCACCAUAGAAAGACGAAAUCACCUAUGUCAAGAAUUGCAAUCGAAAUAGUGUCUAGUAGACUUACACAUUGAGUGAGCAAAUUUCCGGGUACCUCUCAAGCCUACAACAUAGCUGUGAAACCUUAUGCACAUCCUUAAUGCCAAGUCUACUUGUACUCCCUUGCAUUCCUGAUCUACUCUCUCGUCUUGAGGCUUGCCACAUUUUAUAUUGUUUGCUUGAACACCAUCCUUCUGAUGUAUGCAAUCACUAGACAACCA
rnacentral:lncRNA from 1 species